rnacentral:lncRNA from 1 species
AGUCAGCUAUAAAUGGAAGACCUCAAAAAUGUUCAAAAGAAGGAGUUCGAGACCAGCCUGGCCAACAUGGUGAGACCUGUCUCUACUAAAAAUACAAAAAUUAGCUUGGCGUGGUGGCAGGCAUCUGUAACCUGAGCUACUCAGGAGGCUGAGGCAGGAGAAUCACUUGAACCCAGGAGGCGGAGGUUGCAGUGAGCUGAGAUUGUGCCAUUGUAUUGAAAUAGUGAAUCCAUUAGCAUUGUAAUGAACACACGCCACUUAAUGGUACACUGAUCAAGAACCAAGUAAAGAUUUAU